GCAGCCACCCUGAGACCCUGCUGAACCUGGUGGUGCUGUCCCAGCACCUGGGCAAGGCCCCCGAGGUCACCAAUCGUUACCUGUCCCAGCUGAAGGAYGCCCACAAAAACCACCCCUUCAUCAAGGAGUACCAGGCAAAGGAGAACGACUUUGACCGCCUGGCCCUGCAAUAUGCACCCAGUGCCUGAGGAGAGGGGGUGGGAACCCUGGGACACCCUGGGGACACUCAGGGACACCCUGGGACACCCCUGGGUGCUGGGACUGACAGAAAAUCCACCCUAGACCACAGAAAAUCAACCUUGGACCACAAAAAAUGCUCCUGGACCCCAGAAAAUCCACCCUGGACCCCAGAAAAUCCACCCUGGAACACAGAAAAUCCACCCUGGACCACGGAAAAUACCCCUGGACCCCAGAAAAUCCACCCUGCACCCAGGCCUGGCCUCGCUGGUGCUGCCCCUGUGGCAAUAUCUGAAUUUGGGGGGUUUAAGCCCYGCCUAAACCCUGAGCUCUGCCUAAAGCACAGAUCCACAGUGUCCCUGAGCCCCUCAUGCCCUGAAUUUGGGGAAUUUCGGGGU